rnacentral:rRNA from 1 species
AGAAUGAACGUUGGCGGCGUGCCUAACACAUGCAAGUCGAGCGAGAAAAUUCCUUCGGGAGUGAGUAAAGCGGCGAACGGGUGCAUAACACGUAAGAAUCUCCCCUUUAGUGAAGAAUACCCUCGAGAAAUCGGGGUUAAUACUGCAUAAUCCCUUCGGGGCAAAGGUGGCUUUAUGCUGCCGCUAGAGGAUGAGCUUGCGGGCUAUUAGCUAGUUGGUGAGGUAAAGGCUCACCAAGGCUUUGAUGGCUAGCCGGCCUGAGAGGGUGUACGGCCACAUUGGGGACUGCGACACGGCCCAGACUCCUACGGGAGGCAGCAGUGGGGAAUAUUGCGCAAUGGACGAAAGUCUGACGCAGCGACGCCGCGUGGAGGAUGAAGGUUUUCGGAUCGUAAACUCCUGUUAAGUGGGAAGAAACCCAAUCUCUAAUAUAGAUUGGGCAUGACGGUACGCUAGAGAAAGCACCGGCUAACUUCGCGCCAGCAGCCGCGGU